GGAAACUAUUCUGGUGCUGCUGAUUAUCUUUACCAGUACCGAGCAUUGUGCACAAACAGUGACAGGAGCGUCAGUGCAUUGUGGGGAAAGCUUGCAGCGGAGAUACUAAUGCAGAAUUGGGAUAUUGCACUCGAGGAACUCAACCGCUUGAAAGAAAUUAUCGACUCAAAGAGUUUCUCUACUCCGUUGAAUCAAGUUCAGAAUAGAAUAUGGCUAAUGCAUUGGAGUCUAUUCAUCUUCUUCAACCAUGACAAUGGCAGGACACUGAUCAUUGACCUGUUUAACCAGGACAAAUACUUGAAUGCCAUUCAAACAAGUGCUCCCCACUUGCUGCGGUACUUGGCUAUUGCAUUUAUUGUCAACAAAAGAAGAAGACCUCAAUUUAAGGACUUUAUAAAGGUUAUUCAGCAGGAGCAACACUCUUGUAAAGAUCCCAUCACAGAGUUUUUGGCAUGUAUUUACGUCGACUAUGAUUUUGAUGGGGCACAGGAGAAGAUGAAGGAGUGCGAAGAGCUAAUAUUGAAUGACCCAUUCCUUGGAAAAAGAGCUGAAGAGGGCAGUUUCUCCUCUGUGCCAUUGAGAGAUGAAUUCCUUGAAAAUGCUCGUCUUUUUAUCUCUGAGACCUACUGCCGCAUUCACCAACGCAUUGACAUGGGGGUUCUAGCUGAGAAGCUUAACUUGAACCUUGAGGAGGCAGAGCGAUGGAUGGUGAAUCUUAUCAGGACCUCAAAGCUUGAUGCCAAGAUAGACACUGAAACCGGGACAGUUACAAUGGAACCAAAUCAGCCUAAUGUGUACGAGCAGCUCAUCGAUCACACCAAGCCCCUUUCUGGACGCACGUACAAAUUAGUCAGUCAGCUUCUUGAACAUGCACAAACACAACUUGCUAGAUAGUUUGGUUGAGGACAUUAAGCUCGUGCCAAUUUUGCAUUGCUCCCGUACCUGAUUAACACCUUUAUAUUCAAGAAUGUUGCUUAUGUUAAUUCCUGGAUUUCCCUUGGAGGAAAUUUUGAGAUACAUGAUGAAUUAUACAUUAGUUUCUUUUUUAUCUUGUGUUGUCUCCAUUGGAAGUGGUAUGCCUUUGCAUUUUAGUACUCGUUUUUGC
rnacentral:misc_RNA from 1 species